UUGUCGCUGUAUUGAGCUGUC
rnacentral:siRNA from 1 species